AUAUGUGGGGGAGUGGCAGUAUCGUAGCCAAUGAGGUUAAUCCGAGGCGCGAUUAUUGCUAAUUGAAAACUUUUCUGCCCAGUGCAUGUGUAACCCUUGUCCACUAGAGGGAGAUAAAGAGUUGGGGUAUUCCUUAUAAGGA